rnacentral:rRNA from 2 species
AGCUCCAACAGCGUAUAUUAAAGUUGUUGCGGUUAAAAAGCUCGUAGUUGGAUCUCGGCAAGCAGGGGCCGGUUCGCUCCAUAGCGUUACUGGCCCAUUUGCUUGUGUGAUUGGCGGAGGUUUCGGGGUGCUCUUUACUGAGUGUCCCGGGGCGCCGUCAGGUUUACUUUGAAAAAAUUAGAGUGCUCAAAGCAAGCUUUUCACGCUUGAAUAUUCGUGCAUGGAAUAAUAGAAUAGGAACUCGUUUCUAUUUUGUUGGUUUUCGGAAAUCGAGUUAAUGAUUAAUAGGGACAAUUGGGGGCAUUAGUAUUCAGGCGACAGAGGUGAAAUUCUUGGACCGUCUGAAGACUAACUACUGCGAAAGCAUUUGCCAAGAGUGUUUUCA